UAAUUGAAGAGUUUGAUCAUGGCUCAGAUUGAACGCUGGCGGCAGGCCUAACACAUGCAAGUCGGGCGGUAACAGGGAGAAGCUUGCUUCUCUGCUGACGAGCGGCGGACGGGUGAGUAAUGUAUGGGGAUCUGCCUGAUGGCGGGGGAUAACUACUGGAAACGGUAGCUAAUACCGCAUAAUGUCUACGGACCAAAGCGGGGGACCUUAGGGCCUCGCGCCAUCAGAUGAACCCAUAUGGGAUUAGCUAGUAGGUAAGGUAACGGCUUACCUAGGCGACGAUCCCUAGCUGGUCUGAGAGGAUGAUCAGCCACACUGGGACUGAGACACGGCCCAGACUCCUACGGGAGGCAGCAGUGGGGAAUAUUGCACAAUGGGCGCAAGCCUGAUGCAGCCAUGCCGCGUGUAUGAAGAAGGCCUUCGGGUUGUAAA
rnacentral:rRNA from 1 species